rnacentral:misc_RNA from 1 species
GAUGAAGAACGCAGCGAAAUGCGAUAAGUAAUGUGAAUUGCAGAAUUCAGUGAAUCAUCGAAUCUUUGAACGCACAUUGCGCCCCCUGGUAUUCCGGGGGGCAUGCCUGUUCGAGCGUCAUUUCACCACUCAAGCCUCGCUUGGUAUUGGGCAACGCGGUCCGCCGCGUGCCUCAAAUCGACCGGCUGGGUCUUCUGUCCCCUAAGCGUUGUGGAAACUAUUCGCUAAAGGGUGUUCGGGAGGCUACGCUGUAAAACAACCCCAUUUCUAAGGUUGACCUCGGAUCAGGUAGGGAUACCCGCUGAACUUAAGCAUAUCAAUAAGCGGAGGA